rnacentral:lncRNA from 1 species
GUGUGUGUUAACAAAUGGAAGAGCUAGUAUUUGAAAUUACGUCUGUCUGAAACCGAAAUCUGAGCUUCUAACCCCUAGGGUCCAGCCUCUCUUGGUAUGUCAUGAAGUCUGAUAACCUGUGGAAUCCUGUUGCCUCUUAACAGGAUGCUAAGAGUGGCACAUUCCAGUCAGAGUUGAACAACAGUUUGAACUGCAAAGGUCCACCUGAUUUUUUUCUGCCUCUGCUACCUCUGAAACAGCAAGAUCAGCCCUUGCUCUUCCUUCUGCUCCUACUCAACAUGAAGGCACAAAGACGAAGACUUUAUAAUGAUCCAUUUUUACUUAAUAAGCAGUGAGGCACUGAAGGCAGGCUCCCACUAGUCUUUAAUGGAAAUAUUACAAAGUAGAAGGUA